rnacentral:lncRNA from 1 species
UUUCGCGCAAUAGAAUUAAGGAUGAUGAGCAGCAUGUUAAUACCUUCUCCAUCAUCGAUUCGGUGGGCUCAAUUUGUUUGGAGAGAAUGAUAGUGAGUCAUCCAAAACUUGUGCUCGAACACCACGUCUUCAAGCUUCUUCAGCCAGCUCUUGACGGCGUCGCCGGGGAUGGUUCGCCCUCCGCGUCGUUCAAGAAUUUCUGGAUGGUGUCGAGACUCGCAGCCAGCUUUGCUGCUUCUUUGUCGAGACCUCGGAUUUGAGAGAUCUCUUUCUUGCAAAAGUCGAUGAGGCUUUGAAUUGGAGUUUGAAGGACGGAGGCAGCAGUUUUCGCAUCCAUUCUGUGUGUGCGGAUAACUUAGAGAGAGAAAGAGAGAAAUUUAGGAGAGAGAGUAAGAGCAAAGGAAUAGAAUUGGAUGAGUGUUCAAGCAGAAGAGUUUACUUCCUUUCAUUCAAGAUAUUGUUUUCUUUUUAUAUAUCAAUUCUUGCCUCAUUUAAAAAUACUAUAUAAAACAUGGAAAUAGUAGCCUUUAAGACUUUUUUACCCUUAUUUAAAGACGGUAACUUUUUUUUACCCAAAUAUGAUUUAACCCAAAAUCUAGGUUUUGUUUUUUGUUUUAACUUUUUUUUAUUUUACUAUUUUGUGAAAUUUUUGAAAAUUAGUAAAAAAACUAAUUAAUCAAUAUAUAAUAUUAAGGGUAACUUUGUCAUUUCAACACUAAAAAUGCUACAUUUUCCAUAUAUUUAUCUUCAUGGACAUAUUUUCCUACAACUAAAAGGUUUUGGCUAGAGUAGGGUUUCACUCUUUCUUUUUUUCAUUUUAUAUAUUUCAAUUCAAUCUUUGCCGGCACUUUUUUAAAACUAUGACUUUGACUAAGUGGUAAACGUAUUAAAAUAUAAAAAUAUGAUACCUUUAGAAAUCGGUUACAUAGAAAUUUCUAUGCAUUACCUCUUUAUAUAAUGCAAUUUUUUCCACUUAUGCCACCUCUAUUUCCAUUUUAUCCUUCUAAAUAAAAUAAUACUCCCUCCAUCUGCCAAAAGUGGGGCACAAUUACAAUAUCGGGCGUUCGCAAAGAGUGUAAUAGUUUUCUUUUAAAGAAAUGGUUCCACCACCAAUUUAAUCUUUUAUCCUUACAAACACUCUUUAUUUACAAAAAAAUCCACCACAAAUUCAAUCUCAACCACAUAUCUCAUAAAGUGGUGGGACCCUUCUCAACUACAUCAAAAUCAUGACAAAUUUUAUUAUAUUUGGAUUGGGUGCAGCUAAGAGGAUUCUUGGAAUGGAUAUAAGGAGAAACAGAGCUGCUGGGGUUAUUUGGCUUGGGCAGGAAAUUAUAUUCAUAAGGUUUUAAGGAAGUUCAACUUACAUGAAGCUAAGGUUUUGUCUGUUCCUUUAGCUCAGAAUGAUAAGUUGUCUGAUAAACAAUAGCCCUCAAAGUUUGAAUGAGCAGAGAGAUAUGAUGGAUGUUCCAUAUUCAAACUUAGUUGGGAGCUUGAUGUACACAAUGGUGUGUACUCGCCUAUAUAGCACAUGUUAUUAGUGUUACUAGUAGAUAUAUGUCAAAGCCUGGAAGAGAUCACUGGGAAGCACUUAAGAAGGUGUUAAGGUAUCUCAAGGGCAGUGAAAUAGAUGAAUUCUAUUUCAAAGGAGUUCAGGAAGUUCAGAUUCUGUUUGGAAGGUUUUUGUGACUCUGAUUAUGCGCAAAUUCAGAUAAUAGAAGAUCUCAGUCUGGGUAUGUUUCACUCUAUUUGGUUCAGCUUAAGCUGGAAGUCCUCUCUUCAACAUGUUGUAGCACUCUCUACAACAGAAGCUGAGUACAUGGCCAUUACUGAGGCAGUUAAGGAGGCUAUUUGGCUUAAAGGUUUUGUCAGAUUUUGAUAUAAAUCAAGAUUGUGUAGAUAUUAAAUGUGAUAGUCAGAGUGCUCUUUGUUUGGUGAAACACCAGACAUUCCAUGAAAGAUCCAAACAUAUCGAUGUCAGGUUGCACUUUGUGAGGGAUAUCAUUGAAAAGGGAGUUGUUCGAAUGAAGAAAGUGUCUACAGAUAACAAUGCUGCUGAUAUGCUAACUAAGGCUAUUUCUGUCUCUAAGUUUGUUUACUGCAUGAGUCUUAUCAAGCUGGUUUCACAAGCUUGAUGGUUGUUUUGGGAAAUUUUGUAGUUAUCUGUGUUUGUGAUGGUGCUGGUGAUCAAAGUUUGCUUUCGGAGGUAUGUCUUUGAGCUUGGUUAUUCAUUGGUGUGGAUUGAAGACUUUGAGAAUAAGGUGGAGAAUUAUUAUUUGUUUAUUCUCAAAGUCGUGCUUCUCUUUUAAUUGGAGGAAACGCGUUGCUGCGGAAGGGUUGAUGUGCAAAGUUCAGAAACACGGAGGGACUUAUCUGCAAUACUUAUUAGUUGCUGGGUUUUAAUCUCGUCCGUUGAUUUUGAUGAACGGCUCUGAUCAGAUCAGACUGAAGUUGGUUUUAACUAACUUCAUCGUCUUCAUUCUGCAAGUGAAAGGAGUUGCAGAAUCUUGAGCGCAGCUGAGAGUGUUUCUUUCUGUUUUGGGGUGUGUGAUUUCUGUACGGGUUGUAGUCUAGAUCUCUGGGUUCUCUCUUCAAAGUUUGUGAGAGGUUUUAUUGAGUGUUGAUUACUUUGGUGUACUGAAAUUUAUCCUUUGAUAGUGAAUAAAGUCGAGCUCGAUUUCUUGGCCCGUGGAUGUAGGGAUUUAUCCCGAACCACGUAAAUAGCUGUGUUCGUGUGUAUUUUGUUUGAGUUCUUAGUUGAUUUCACAACACGUCCGAUUAACAUUACCAACGGCGGUGGCCUUGCCGCUAAUUAGCGACGGCCUCUACCGUCGGUAUUUCUCCGGCAAUUCUCCGCCGUUCAAUGGCGAAAAGAUAAGAGGUUCUAAUUAAACUUAUCUUAAUUAAUUAUUUAUUUUUCUACUUUAUUACCUACACACUUAAAACAUUAAUCUCCAACUCCUUAAUUCCCGUGCUGAAAAGAAGUGACUCAAAAUUCGUGGGACGAAGGGAGUAUUAUUUAAUGAUACAUAAAGUGAUCACAAAUGUUUAGUAAUUAUCCAAUAAACGUAACUAAAAUAUUAAUAUUGAUAAUAUUUAUAAUUAUACAUGGACUUUUAAAAUAUUUAUUUUUCUUUUAUGAACAUUUAGCUAGCAUGUGUAAGAGAAAUUUUGAACAUUUAAUAUUAAUUAAAUCACUAUAAUUGUGUAACAAUUAUAAUCCCAUCAAAAUGGUUUUAACAUAAUCAUAGCGUUAUAAUUUAUUGUAUUAUUUCAUUUUUACUUCUUAAAUAUUUACACACACACAUACAUAAUAUGACCACAUUCUUUUUGAAUGGUAUAUAAUAACAUAUUAAUUUUCGUCUAAAAUGAUAUGUUCAGUAAAUAUAAAUAAAUAUUCAGGAAACAUAAAUAAAAAAUUACUAAAAUAUUGAUAUUGACAAAAUUUAUGAUUAUACAUGGACUUAUAACAUAUUUAUUAAUUUAUUCUUUCUUGAACAUUUAUUCAACAUAUUUAAAAUAUAUAUAAAAAUAUGAUACCUUUAUAAAUCGGUUACAUAGAAAUUUCUAUGCAUUACCUCUUUGUAAUGCAAUUUUUUCCAAUUAAAAGACAAGAAAAUUGAACAUUCUUCUUUUUCCCGUUUCACAUGAUACUUCAACUUGUAUUUGCUUUUUAUCAUUCUAAAUAAAAUAAUACUAUACUCCAUUCGUCUCACAAAAACAUGAAUAUUUUGCCAUUUUGAGGCGUCUCACAAAAACAUGAACAUUUCUAUUUUUAUACACUACCCCACCACAAUUCCUUUACUUUUAAUUAUGUAUAGUUUUUAUAAAGUGGGCCUUUUUUUCCACUCAUAAUAUAAUUUUAUCUAAUAUUUCUUAAAAUUCGUGUCACUUACAAAUGUUCAUAUUUUUGUGGGACGGAUGAAGUAAUAAUUAAAGUAUAAGUUUAUCACAUUUUAUGUUUGAAUGCAGUGAAACCCUUUUCCAACGGUGCCUCUGCUACAGCUAAUAUUUGGAGCAAUGAGGACAAAACUCAGCAGAUGUAGUGGAUACUGUUCAUCCGUUACGUGACUUUUAUUUUCUCUCUCUCUUAUUUCUUCCUUGUAUUUUAUGAUUUAUCAAAAAUAUUUAAAUAUGAUUGAGCAUAAAUAUAUAGGAUACUAUAAUAAUUAAAUGACAUAAUUAUUUAAUGAUAGAAAGCAUAAAAAUAGAAUAUUCUAUUGAGUUCAAUGUAGAAUUGAUUGUAAGUCUUUGUGCUUUAUAAAUUAGUUACAUGAGACAAGAAGAUUGUACAUUCUUCCUUUUCCCGUUUUCACACAACACUUCAACGUGUGGAAAAAAAUUUAUAAAACAAUAUAUCUAUCUUUGGUCAUCGUUAAUCACCACAAAAUCUUCCUCUCCAAAUAAGCCGAGAGUUGGGAGAAAGAUAAUUACAUAUUUAGAAGUUGACAUUGAUGAAAUUCUAAAAAUAGAGAUAAAUGAGAAAGAAUAUUUUUUUUAACACUUAAAGUAUCAAAAUGAUAUUAUUUUGAUGUUUAAGUUGAAAAAAAAAAAGUUUUAAGAAAUAGUUCAUGUUAGACUCUGAUGAGAUGAGUAUCUCUUCGUCACCAAAUAUUUUAUAUAAAAAAAGAUAAAUAUUUAAAGAAUUUUUAAGAGAAAACAAAAUUUAGAGACACAAAACACUUAUAAUACUUAUUUUUAUAUAUAAAAAGUGAUUGUUAACCGAACUAUACUUGUACUCAUUAAAUUUAUAACUUUAAUAGUUAUAUAUUUAUGCUUACAAAGUUUAUCUAUUGGUGCUAUGGUUAAAGUAUCAUUUUGACUUUAAAGGUGUGAAGAAUAAUCAUGCAUGCUUCAAUCCAUAUACCGCGAUAUGAAAAUGUAAACACUAGACACAAAUUACUGAUCUUCACCAGCAAAUGGUGUAAGCUACAAAUAAAAUUAUGAAAAUUAUAUGUGAAAUAGUGUCAAAAAAAUAUGAUGCAUAAAUAUAGGAGGACAGAUGAAGUACUAUAAAAUCAAAUGAUUAUACUAAUAAAAAAAAAGAAAAAAAAUCUCAAAUUUGACUACACACAAUCAACAAGCAGAAUCGAAAAAUUCAUCUUCACCUUCCCUACUGCGCUUUAAGGUCGGCGGUAGCAGCUGCUGCUUCCUUGCUAUGUGUGAUGCAAGCUGAGAACUUAGAGAGAGAAACAGACAAACUCAGUGAGAGAGAGAGAGAGAGAGAGGAUUAAGGAGCAGAAUUGGAUGAGUGAUGCAAGCUAGCAUUUAAUUAAUUCAUUCAAGAUAUGGUUUUCCUUUUUAAUUUUUUAUAUUUCAAUCUUGGCCGACGCGUUUUUUAAUACUUUGACUAUGACCAGUUAGUUGAUGAAUGUUUUGGUGGGUGGUAUUAACAUAAUCCCUCCCAUCCUUAUAAAAAAAAUUUAUUUCUAAACGGUACAAAUUAUCAUAGGAUCUCGCUUUAUUGUGAGUAGAAAACUCACAAAAAAUAAAUUAGAUUGAUUUUAUGAAGACGAACAAAAAUAACAAAUUGAAUACAUUUUAUGAGGACGAGGGGGUAAAAAAUUGUUGAAUAUAGUAUUUAGUUAAAAUUUUAAUAAUGUGGUAAAGGUAUUAAAAUAUAUAAAUAUGCUAUCUUUAUAAAUUGGUUACAUAGAAAUUUAUAUACAUCUCUAUAUAAUGCGCUUCUUUUUCCAAUUAGGGUGCGUUCUCUUUGAUUGUAAAUUUAUCAUGAGAAAAUUAGGGAAAAACAAAAUUUUACCAUUUAAAUCAUUCCUUUCUUUUUCCACAUUUCCUACUUGACCCUUACCCAUUUCUCAUUUACACUACAAAGGAGGGAUAAUAUUAUCCCUCCAAAAAUGGUGUGAUAAUAUUAUCCCCCAUUUGUAGUGUAAAUGAGGAAUGAGUAGGGG